rnacentral:lncRNA from 1 species
GGCGCCGCCCCCUCCCCGCGGCCCUCCCGGCCACCGCAGCCCUCCCGGCCACCGCGGCGUGCCCCGCGGCCCUCCCCACCACCGCAGCCCGCCCCUCCACCGAGCCAGGCCACGGCGUCGCCCCCUUCCCGCGGCAUCGGUAUCGGUCGGGCGCGUCUCGGUCCAGAUGCAUACAUAGGCUGGCGGAGGGCAUCGUUUUCCUCCGGAUUCCCUUCCCACCGGGCUGCUUCGUCACUAGAUCCGUCGUCCACUGACCCCAUCCUCUAUACAUACGGUACGGUACCAACGCCUCUCCCCUUCCGUAUCAUAUCUCUACAAAGUUCCAUCGUUUCAGAGCUUCACUUGUUAUUAUUACUCUCUCACGAGAUUGAUUUCCAACCCCACCGCAACAACAAGAAAAAGAUCGAUUUCCAACUAAGACAGAAUCAUUUUGAUUCAGAAACCUGGGAGAUAAUUCAGAUUCAGGUUCUAGAAAUAUUUCAGAUUCAGUAAGGCUUGGGACUAGGGAAAGAAGAGUGCACGAAUAAGUAUAAUAAUGCGUCUGAAAUUACAGUUUGUUCCUAUCUGAUUCUGACGAUACCUACUUUCAAGGUCCACUUCUUACAAAGUACGUAGUAGUAACAUGUGUUUUCCUUAUGGAAACUCAAGUCUCUUUUCUUGACUAAACCAAAUUAAUAUCAGCUCCAGUUUGAUCAUUUGAUGGCAUAGGUUUUGAGAAUAACAUAGUAUUAACACUGCAAUUUUUAUGGGUAACCAAACACCUCACUGUAAUUAAAACUUUAGUAUUAAACGAAACUACAGUAUUGUUAGAAUACUUUGAAAAUACUGUGCUAUCAAACGGGGCCUUAGUAUGGGGUGGGGCUGCGAGUGCAUGGAACGGUGGCUCAGCUCGGCUCAGCCGGCGGGAAGGAGUGAGAGGGACAUAUGAGCUGGUUGUUUCUUCCUCCGGGCUCCUGAUGGGAUGGCCCGUAUGUUAGCUAGCUGAGCAUGUUGAUCAGCUCCGGCCAGCAGGCGUGUGCUUGCACUGCUAAUGGCUAGGUAGCUGAGGCCCCAUUUGAUAACAAAGUAUUUUCUAAGUAUUCUUAGAAUACUGCAGCUUUUUAUAAUACUGUGGUUUUUAUUACAAAGGGUUGUUUGAUUGUCUCUAAAAACUGUGAUUUUAAUACUGCAGUUUUUUGCAAACUACAAUAUUUUCUCUGCAUAAAAAAGGGAACCACAUACCUCUUUUUUUAAAACUGAGCUCACUGAGGAGAAAAGAGAGUCUCUCGCUCAGACCUUCUUCUCAACAUCCUCUUUUUACUUCUAUAUGCAAACUUGGACAUAUACAUCUGGUGGGGUGGUCCUUGUGUGCAUGGUUAUAUUGACAAUGCAGCCUCACUAUUACUCCUAGUAGUUAUCGGCAGCAAUUUAAAAGAAUCUCACCAAGUUAUUGAACUGCAGAAUAAGGCCCCUUGUGUGUAUUAAAACUGAAACUUCUGGCUGCACUUGUCUCGUUGAGAUUUACAGAACUGCACUUGAUAUUAACUAGAUCAUUAUCUCUAAUUUUGAGAUAAAUAUGGAAGUGUAGUGCUGAUUGUGUAGCAGCUACAGUUUUGACAGGAUAAAAGAAUUACUCCUAGUUAGUAUCUCAUAUGAGAUGUUUGUGUAGGAAUAUAUCACUAGCUUAUAUGAUAGUUAGCUCUAUUUAUGUAGUUUGCAUGCACUUUCUACACACAUAUUGCAAUGUGAUUGUUUGCUGAUAUGCUUUAAGUAGUGAUGUUCAUGCUGUUUCUACAUGACAAGUAAAAACAACACGAGUAUAUGGGCUUACAUGAGUUCUGCUAGUUGAGUUUCUUUGAUAAAAUGUUCACUUUGAAUUUCUAAUUGAUGUAGACUCUCACAUCUUUAUUUUGGAAUCAGACGGUAUUUGUUCUUGGUCAUUUUACGACACUGUCUUGUAAGGGAGAAAGGCUUGGUCUCUCUAUUUGGUUGUUGUUUUAGCUCUUGCAGAUUGCCAUAUAUGACGUGCUAAUUGUUUUUAGCUCUUGACAUAGUUAAACUUUGGAUGCCCUAGUGCCUGCUGCUUAUGUUUGUUUACUCGGUUUGAACUCUGAAUGAUAUGUUGUUAUCCUGAUUGCAGGUCUGAUGAGUUGGUUUUGCUUGUGUGUGAGGAGGCAUGUUGUGGUUAACAUCGAGUCAGGGUGCCUACCUUUGUAUUUGAAUCUGUGAGGUAAUGAAGGCAAAAAAGAAGUUUCUACUUGCACUGUUCUUGCAAGGAAACAGAGACAAACUUGUGGUUACUGAAGCAUUACUCUGUAGUUUCUACUUGCUCUGUCAAAUACAUUCUGUUGUUGAUCAUCUUCAGUAAAUUCUAAGCCUCAGCUACUCUGUUGUUAAAGCUUCCCUGUUACAGUUUUAUAUUUAUUAGAUAGGUUCGCUACUCUGAAAAAAAGGUUAGUUGCUGAUUUAGCAUCACAGGAGGGUACCAACUAAGAACUUUUGGAGUGACAACAAAAUUUAAUUAAAGGGGAAAAACUGUUUGUUUGAGCUUCCAAUUUCCCUCACCUCUCUUACCUUUUUCCAGAUAUGGACCGUCAACCGCCAUGACCAUGAUCAACGCGUCCUCGGCCUCCCAGACGAGGAUGGAAUGAGCAGGGCAAGAGAAGAGGAGGGAGCAGGCCGACGCCCGACGGCGACCUGACCAUCCUCCUGGAUCUCAUCGGCAACCCCCUGGCCUGGAGGCCGCCCGCCCGCCCGCCGUCAGUGCGGGGCCUGCGGCACCACUUCCUCGUGCUCCUCCUUAACAUCCAGUGAGGCUUUGCUUCUCCCCAUCCCCUCUAUUCCACCAUGUUUUUUUGUAAUUUUUGCCCAUGAUGUUGCUUCGCACUUUAUUCAUAUAUUGUAUUUGGCACAGGUUCAUAUGUUCAUAAGAGUUAUCUGUGAUGCUGCUUGCACAGUUCAAGAAAAUCAUAUCAUCUGUUGGCACUUUGUCCAUGUAUUUUAACAUUGCGUGUUUUGAUUUUGUGAUUUGGGUGCAUUGUUUCCUGAUUAACAUGAAUUAAUGGAUCUACACAAGCAAGGCACUUAUUAACUUGGCACUGUUAAUUAAGAAAAUUUGAUGAAGCACGCACUGUUAAUUUCAGCAACACUCUUUGCCUUUGCAUGUGAAUUAAUGGAUAUGGCACCUUCUUAUACAAAUCAAUGGAUUUGGCACUUAGUGUUAUGAAUCUUAUGAACAAGUUAACGUCACUGAUGUGUAUGAUAUGUAUGCAUACUUGGAACAUUAUGAUAUGUAUGCAUACUUGAAUGGUAGUAACUUGAAUGCAUCAACAUUAGUGCUAUAGAGUUGUUAUCCGAGCUAGUUCUGUUUACUUUUAAUAUAGGUCUAGUAGUCACCAGUACUUACAUCCUAUGCUAUAGUAGUCCUUGUUCAUAUUUACUAGCUAAGUUUGCUUGUCCUGGGGAUCUACAUACAUGCCAUUCGUGUUUCACGCUUUCUCUGAAAUGAAAUAAUAAGGUGCACUUUCCAGGGACCAGGACGACCACCGGGACCUCCAUGACGAUGACGAAGCCCCGCACAUGGUCGAGCUCGAUGGAACAACAGUGCCUCGGUGUGGUGCAGCCGAGUUGGGCCAACGACUACGUUAUGGUCCUCAUUAUGGUCGAGUUUUUGUUUUGACCUUGUGAAACUUGCUACCUAUGGAUGAAACUGUGUAAUAUUGAUGAAACUAUGUAUAUGUACGGAUGAAACUUGCUACUAUUGGUAACAUGUGUUGGAUACAUAUGUGUUCAUGACUAUUGGUAAUAUGUGUUGAAUAUGCUAUAUUGGUCAUAUAAAUCUAUUUGUGUUUGAUUUCUAUGAAAAUGAAUUGAUAUAAGAAAAAACAAAAUUAAAUGGGGC